GAUGAACGCUGGCGGCGUGCCUAAUACAUGCAAGUCGAGCGAACGGACGAGAAGCUUGCUUCUCUGAUGUUAGCGGCGGACGGGUGAGUAACACGUGGAUAACCUACCUAUAAGAAUGGGAUAACUUCGGGAAACCGGAGCUAAUACCGGAAAAUAUUUUGAACCGCAUGGUUCAAAAGUGAAAGACGGUCUUGCUGUCACUUAUAGAUGGAUCCGCGCUGCAUUAGCUAGUUGGUAAGGUAACGGCUUACCAAGGCAACGAUGCAUAGCCGACCUGAGAGGGUGAUCGGCCACACUGGAACUGAGACACGGUCCAGACUCCGACGGUAGGCAGCAGUAGGGAAUCUUCCGCGAUGGGCGAAAGCCUGACGGAGCAACGCCGCGUGAGUGAUGAAGGUCUUCGGAUCGUAAAACUCUGUUAUUAGGGAAGAACAUAUGUGUAAGUAACUGUGCACAUCUUGACGGUACCUAAUCAGAAAGCCACGGCUAACUACGUG
rnacentral:rRNA from 1 species